CACAACGUAAAUUUCAUGAAAACGCAACCGGAAAUUGACAAUAGAGAAAUCAACUUAAAAAUAUAAUUGACAUCGAUUUGGCGAACGUUACUUACAGUAGACAAUAUAUCCACCAUCUCGCAGUGGAGCAGCGUGGAAGAUUAUUCUCCAAUCCUUCUCCUACGUGGAGAUAAAGUCUGAGAAUUUACGAUCGUCUUCACAACGAAACUAGUUUACAACAAUGGAAGGUCAAGACACUGGACAUCGGGUGCGGACACCGGUCAGCGUGGGAAAGAGGGUGAAAUAGGGUUAUGAGAAUCCCUGUAUAACAUCUACCAUUACAAUUAAAAAAAGUAUUUCUUUUGUAUGUGAU
rnacentral:misc_RNA from 1 species